rnacentral:rRNA from 1 species
UGGGGAAUUUUGGACAAUGGGCGAAAGCCUGAUCCAGCAAUGCCGCGUGUGUGAAGAAGGCCUUCGGGUUGUAAAGCACUUUUGUCCGGAAAGAAAUCCUUGGCUCUAAUACAGUCGGGGGAUGACGGUACCGGAAGAAUAAGCACCGGCUAACUACGUGCCAGCAGCCGCGGUAAUACGUAGGGUGCAAGCGUUAAUCGGAAUUACUGGGCGUAAAGCGUGCGCAGGCGGUUUGCUAAGACCGAUGUGAAAUCCCCGGGCUCAACCUGGGAACUGCAUUGGUGACUGGCAGGCUAGAGUGUGGCAGAGGGGGGUAGAAUUCCACGUGUAGCAGUGAAAUGCGUAGAGAUGUGGAGGAAUACCGAUGGCGAAGGCAGCCCCCUGGGCCAAUACUGACGCUCAUGCACGAAAGCGUGGGGAGCAAACAGGAUUAGAUACCCUGGUAGUCCACGCCCUAAACGAUGUCAACUAGUUGUUGGGAUUCAUUCCUUAGUAACGUAGCUAACGCGUGAAGUUGACCGCCUGGGGAGUACGGUCGCAAGAUUAAAACUCAAAUGAAUUGACGGGGUCAUAGCUG